GAUGAACGCUGGCGGCGUGCCUAAUACAUGCAAGUCGAGCGAAGCGGGGACGGGUGAGUAACACGUGGAUAACCUCCUAUAAGACUGGGAUAACUUCGGGAAACCUGAGCUAAACCCGAUACUUCUAGAUGGAUCUUCGCUGCAUUAGCUAGUUGGUAGGGUAACGGCUUACCAAGGCAACGAUGCAUAGCCGACCUGCGAGGGUGAUCGGCCAAACUGGAACUGAGACACGGUCCAGACUCCUACGGGAGGCAGCAGUAGGGAAUAUUCCGCAAUGGGCGAAAGCCUGACGUAGCAAUGCCGCGUGAGUGAUGAAGGUCUUCGGAUCGUAAAGCUCUGUUAUUAGGGAAGCGGUACCUAAACAGAAAGCAACGGCUAACUACGUGCCAGCAGCCGCGGUAAUUC
rnacentral:rRNA from 1 species